UCCCAGGUGGCUCAGACGGUAAAGCGUCUGUCUACAAUGCAGGAGACCUGGGUUCAAUCCCUGGGUCAGGAA
rnacentral:tRNA from 1 species